rnacentral:rRNA from 1 species
GCAGUCGAGGGGUAUGGUUCUUCGGAAGAGAGACCGGCGCACGGGUGCGUAACGCGUAUGCAAUCUACCUUUUGCAGAGGGAUAGCCCAGAGAAAUUUGGAUUAAUACCUCAUAGUAUGGCGACUUCGCAUGAUGACGCUAUUAAAGUCACAACGGCAAAAGAUGAGCAUGCGUCCCAUUAGCUAGAUGGUAAGGUAACGGCUUACCAUGGCUACGAUGGGUAGGGGUCCUGAGAGGGAGAUCCCCCACACUGGUACUGAGACACGGACCAGACUCCUACGGGAGGCAGCAGUGAGGAAUAUUGGACAAUGGACGCAAGUCUGAUCCAGCCAUGCCGCGUGCAGGAUGACGGUCCUAUGGAUUGUAAACUGCUUUUGUACAAGAAGAAACACUCCUACGUGACGGAACUUGACGGUACCGUAAGAAUAAGGAUCGGCUAACUCCGUGCCAGCAGCCGCGGUAAUACGGAGGAUCCAAGCGUUAUCCGGAAUCAUUGGGUUUAAAGGGUCCGUAGGCGGUUUGGUAAGUCAGUGGUGAAAGCCCAUCGCUCAACGGUGGAACGGCCAUUGAUACUGCCAGACUUGAAUUAUUAGGAAGUAACUAGAAUAUGUAGUGUAGCGGUGAAAUGCUUAGAGAUUACAUGGAAUACCAAUUGCGAAGGCAGGUUACUACUAAUGGAUUGACGCUGAUGGACGAAAGCGUGGGUAGCGAACAGGAUUAGAUACCCUGGUAGUCCACGCCGUAAACGAUGGAUACUAGCUGUUGGGAGCAAUCUCAGUGGCUAAGCGAAAGUGAUAAGUAUCCCACCUGGGGAGUACGGUCGCAAGACUGAAACUCA